GUUGAAGGAAAUGAAAAAUUCAUUACCAAAUAAAGUUACAAAAAGCCCAAAUACAUGAGUCAAAAAAUGAAAACCUAGGCCUGAGUAAUAACAAAAGAAAAGCCCAAUAGCUCAUGCCCAAAACAACAAAAAGCGCCCAAAUUACAAAAACCCUAAAAUAAAACCCUACACAAACGAAGCAGCCACUGCCGCCUCCGCUCGAUAUGUCGCCGCCGCCACAACACCAAGAUCCAGAGAAAUAGUGGUCAAAAUUUAUCGUUGAGUUACAGAGCCCACAUAGCCCAAAGAUGCAGAUUAAAGUCUUAGAUCUAAUAAUGGGUUGUAGAAAUGAAGCAGUUGCAGCAGACCAGUAGUGGACCCAGUGAAUCCUAGGGAAAGAGGACUUUAGAGUUUGAGAUUUGGUGGGAGGAGAAGGUAUAAGGACAGGUGCAUGAAGGUGUGGUGGGAUGAGGGGAAAAAAGGAUGAGGGAGAUAUAAUGGCUGAAAAAGAGAGGGACAUGAGAUGUAGAGGGAAAAGUGGAGGAGGUUUUGGCCAAUAUCAGAAAUUUCAUGGGAGAAGGGGUAUUCGAAAAUAGAAAGAGAAAAUAAAAUAGAGGAGAGCGAGAAGUCAUACGAGAGGUGCCAGAGAAGCUGCCCCGAAGGUCGGCGGAAGAGAGAAAUUUUAGAGAGAAUGAAGAGCAUCUCUCUCAAUAGUUGGUUAAUAAGGUGGUGUUUUUUUCCUUUGAAAUUAUGAAUUUGCUCUUAGUAUUGACUCAAAUUUAGAUGGACACUUGCGGGUUUUGAAAUUGUAAGGAAAUGUGUAUAAAGUCGUGAAAAUAUGCAAGGAAGAAGAUACCAUUUAUAUAAUCA
rnacentral:lncRNA from 1 species